UUGAGAUGGAGAAAAGACCGAGAGGGGGAAAGGAAGCGAGGCGACGCGCCGGGCGCAGUGCCACCGCCCGCAGUUUCCCCUUUGGGCUUGGGAGCUCAGGGAAAAUAUCAAGUGAUACGGGCGGGAGCUCAGCUCAGCUCACUGCGCCACUGCCGCGGAUCCACACCCAAUACGAUCAACCAAAGAAAAGAAGCAGCUUGGGGUCCGUCCGUCUCUCCACUCUGCACGGCGGCGGCGGCGGCGAUUCAUGGACGCGGGCGAGCUCUUCAACCCAGACCGCGGCGGGGCGCACGGCGCCGGCUGCGACUGCGGGGACUGCGAGGAGUGGGGGCGCCACUGCUACUGGAACCACGACCACGGCGACGGCGGCACCAAGCAGUUCCUCCUCUUCGCCUCCGACG